rnacentral:rRNA from 1 species
UGGGGAAUAUUGGGCAAUGGGCGCAAGCCUGACUCAGCAACGCCGCGUGAAGGAAGAAGGCUUUCGGGUUGUAAACUUCUUUUCUAAGGGACGAAGGAAGUGACGGUACCUUAGGAAUAAGCCACGGCUAACUACGUGCC